rnacentral:rRNA from 1 species
GUUUGAUCCUGGCUCAGGACGAACGCUGGCGGCGUGCUUAACACAUGCAAGUCGAACGGUAAGGCCCUUCGGGGUACACGAGUGGCGAACGGGUGAGUAACACGUGGGUGAUCUGCCCUGCACUUCGGGAUAAGCUUGGGAAACUGGGUCUAAUACCGGAUAGGACCACGGUCUGCAUGGAUUGUGGUGGAAAGCUUUUGCGGUGUGGGAUGGGCCCGCGGCCUAUCAGCUUGUUGGUGGGGUGAUGGCCUACCAAGGCGACGACGGGUAGCCGGCCUGAGAGGGUGUCCGGCCACACUGGGACUGAGAUACGGCCCAGACUCCUACGGGAGGCAGCAGUGGGGAAUAUUGCACAAUGGGCGCAAGCCUGAUGCAGCGACGCCGCGUGGGGGAUGACGGCCUCGGUU